UGGCGGACGGGUGAGUAACGCGUGGAAAACCUGCCGUAUACUGGGGGAUAACACUUAGAAAUAGGUGCUAAUACCGCAUAAGUGCACAGCUUCGCAUGAAGCGGUGUGAAAAACUCUGGUGGUAUACGAUGGUUCCGCGUCUGAUUAGCUAGUUGGUGGGGUAAUGGCCUACCAAGGCAACGAUCAGUAGCCGGCCUGAGAGGGUGAACGGCCACAUUGGGACUGAGGCACGGCCCAAACUCCUACGGAAGGCAGCAG
rnacentral:rRNA from 1 species